rnacentral:lncRNA from 1 species
GACCAGACAGGCGCAGGUAGCUUGACCGCCUUACCCGUCAUUGAAACACAAGCUGGAGAUGUAUCGACCUAUAUUCCCACCAAUGUGAUCCCCGUUACUGAUGGACAAAUCUGUUUGAAAACAGAGCUCUUUUAUCGCGGAAUUAGACCUGCGAUUAACGUCGGCUUAUCUGUCAGUCGCGUCGGGUCUGCCGCUCAGUUGAAAACUAUGAAACAAGUCUGCGGUAGUUCAAAACUGGAAUUGGCACAAUAUCGCGAAGUGGCCGCCCUUGCUCAAUUUGGCUCAGACCUUGAUGCUGCGACUCAGGCAUUACUCAAUAGAGGUGCAAGGCUGACAGAAGUACCGAAACAACCACAAUAUGCACCACUGCCAAUUGAAAAACAAAUUCUAGUCAUUUAUGCAGCUGUCAAUGGAUUCUGUGAUCGAAUGCCACCCGUCAUUGAAACACAAGCUGGAGAUGUAUCGACCUAUAUUCCCACCAAUGUGAUCCCCGUUACUGAUGGACAAAUCUGUUUGAAAACAGAGCUCUUUUAUCGCGGAAUUAGACCUGCGAUUAACGUCGGCUUAUCUGUCAGUCGCGUCGGGUCUGCCUCUCAGUUGAAACUAUGAAACAAGUCUGCGGUAGUUCAAAACUGGAAUUGGCAUAAUAUCACGAAGUGACCUCCCUUGCUCAAUUUGGCUCAGACCUUGAUGCUGCGACUCAGGCAUUACUCAAUAGAGGUU